CAUCCUGAUAUCCGCUGCCUUGGGCACGGCCACCACUGCUUGCCUUCCUUGGAGCAAAGAAUUAUGAGCUCUCCCGUACACGGCUGAAGCGCCUACAGGUCAGACACCAAAAGGGGACAUCGACAGGCACGUACCUCGCCAGACGCGUCUCUCUCGACCUGCAGGAUGAUUUCCAUGGCACGGCCCUCCUCAGGUGUUGAAGUCUGACGGAUU